GUCCACGCUGUAAACGAUGAUCACUAGACGUCAGUUCGGCUCUGCUGAAUUGGUGUCGUAGCUAACGCGUUAAGUGAUCCGCCUGGGGAGUACGGUCGCAAGACUAAAACUUAAAGAAAUUGACGGGGGUCCGCACAAGCGGUGGAACAUGUGGUUUAAUUCGACACUACGCGAGGAACCUUACCUGGGCUUGACAUGUUUUUGACAGUCGUAGAAAUACGAUCUUCCGAGUUUACUCGGACAAAUUCACAGGUGUUGCAUGGCUGUCGU
rnacentral:rRNA from 1 species